UGCAAGUCGAGCGGAGAUGAGGUGCUUGCACCUUAUCUUAGCGGCGGACGGGUGAGUAAUGCUUAUGAAUCUGCCUAUUAGUGGGGGACAACAUUCCGAAAGGAAUGCUAAUACCGCAUACGUCCUACGGGAGAAAGCAGGGGAUCUUCGGACCUUGCGCUAAUAGAUGAGCCUAAGUCGGAUUAGCUAGUUGGUGGGGUAAAGGCCUACCAAGGCGACGAUCUGUAGCGGGUCUGAGAGGAUGAUCCGCCACACUGGGACUGAGACACGGCCCAGACUCCUACGGGAGGCAGCAGUGGGGAAUAUUGGACAAUGGGGGAAACCCUGAUCCAACCAUGCCGCGUGUGUGAAGAAGGCCUUAUGGUUGUAAAGCACUUUAAGCGAGGAGGAGGCUACUGAGACUAAUACUCUUGGAUAGUGGACGUUACUCGCAGAAUAAGCACCGGCUAACUCUGUGCCAGCAGCCGCGGUAAUACAGAGGGUGCGAGCGUUAAUCGGAUUUACUGGGCGUAAAGCGUGCGUAGGCGGCUUUUUAAGUCGGAUGUGAAAUCCCCGAGCUUAACUUGGGAAUUGCAUUCGAUACUGGGAAGCUAGAGUAUGGGAGAGGAUGGUAGAAUUCCAGGUGUAGCGGUGAAAUGCGUAGAGAUCUGGAGGAAUACCGAUGGCGAAGGCAGCCAUCUGGCCUAAUACUGACGCUGAGGUACGAAAGCAUGGGGAGCAAACAGGAUUAGAUACCCUGGUAGUCCAUGCCGUAAACGAUGUCUACUAGCCGUUGGGGCCUUUGAGGCUUUAGUGGCGCAGCUAACGCGAUAAGUAGACCGCCUGGGGAGUACGGUCGCAAGACUAAAACUCAAAUGAAAUUGACGGGGGCCCGCACAAG
rnacentral:rRNA from 1 species